GGAGUGAGUGUUCUUUAAUUUCUCUCUGUUUUCCUUUCCCUUGUUCAUCUUCUUGUUCGGCAUGGGCAACAAACGGGUCUCGCGUUUUCUUCGCCACCACCGUGGGUUGCUUCAAGACACGCGGAAGCGCACCGUUCAUGUCACCAACAGUUACGCCGGAGUUGAAUACUUGCUUAGAGAUGUGAAGGAUACAACCAUUAGCACCCUCGCAACAGAGGUAAGUGCAAAACUCACAGCCUUAAAGGGAUUGGAUGCAAGGCUUAAAGAGAUAAGAAGUUACCUUGACCUUGUCAUUGAUGGAAAGCUUCCCUUGAACCAUGCGAUCUUGUAUCAUCUGCAGUACCUCUAUGUCGGUUUCUCUCUGUAUGGAGUCGCGUCAAACAGAGUGGGCAUGGGUUUGCAGAGAUAUUAUUCGGUUUCGCGAGAAGCAUUUGUCUGAGGGAACUAGUGAGGUUGCCACUGAGUGACGACAUGUUGCUAUUCUUUCUCGUUGGAGGUUGCGUUUAUACCCAGUUGUUCUAUCAUUAUAAGGUGUUUGCGAAAUAGUUGGUUUGUAAGAGAGCUGUACAACAGGAAAUGCCAUCCAUUAUGCGAGCUAUGCACCACUGGAACAUUUCUCAGCUCUGCGCCAUUGUCCACCACCUAGUUUGCUUUGUGAGUUCUUUCCUUUUUCUACUCUUAAACUUUACUUUUACAUUGGGGACGAUAUAAAAUUUAAGCAUUAGGAGGUUAAGUUGUAUUAGCAUUUUUUUGCAUUAUAGCAUGUCAUACUCAUCAUAUCCUUUAUCAUGUUUUAUCUAUCUUAGCCCACUUUCUUUUGGAAUUUCAAUGUUCAUACUCUAGGGACCCUAUUUGUUUGAUAUGAUUAGCCCUUUCUGAAGAGUGAUCAAUAGAGAACUGAUAAUUAGCAAAGAGUUUCCUGAUCUCUAUUCUCUUUCAAAUAUAGCUACUAAAUGUGAGCUUUGAGCUUAAAUAAGGGUCUUGUUACAUCAUAUUAUGUUGAAACCCUUUCUUCUUUUGAUGAGUGACAUUCCACAUUGACUGUGCAUUCUAGAACUUGGCCUGUAACCAUUUUGAGAUGACUUCUUCUUGAACGCAUGUUUCAGGAUGAAAAAGGCACUUUAGGUAUUUUUCAGGCCUCAAAAUUUGCUGUUAAAGUUACCAUUAGUAGUUGCCCAAUUUUGAGCCUAAUAUGAAAAUUAAUUUCUUUGGUACCCAUCUAUAGAAUGUGAAUCUAUCUUCUGAAUUGAGUCCUUUAGAAUAUAAAUUGAGCAACUUAGGUAGAAAAUGAUUGCGAAAUCAAUUCUGAUUUGAAUGUUAAAGUGUGCAAAUUUUUUGAAAAAAGAGAAUUAGAAAGGAAAAAAAAAUGUUGAAAAGGAAAAAUAGAAGAAGCAUAAAAGAGCAAAAAAAAAAAAAAAGAAAGAAAAAAAGGAAGAAAAAAGAAGGAAUAUGAAACAGAAAAGUAUGAAGUCAUCAUUAAACAAAAAAAAAAAAGAAAAAAAAGAAAAAAAAAAAGAAGAAAAAAGAGAAGAAGGAAAAGAAACAUGAAACAGAAAAAAGUGCAUGAAGUGUCAGUUAUUCAGUUGGUCUAUGUGUAGAUUAUUUUGUACACAGUUAUUUAGUUACUGAAUAUACAGAAGUGUCAUUUUCUGUUAUAGUUAGUUUAUCUCUAACUCUAAUAGUCAUCAUUAUAUUUAUUGUGGUUCUCUAUGCUUAAGUUGCUCUUUAUAUGUUCUAAGGGAUGCUUGUUGUCAUUUAAUUUUGUUUAGCCCCUUGAUAUCCUUCUUCUUUCUCAGAAUCUUCCCUGUUGAAUUGAUUUUCCUUGGCCACAUUACAACCCUUGAAAAGACCUUUUGACUUUAACACGCAUUCAAAAAAAAUUAAGUUGUGGAGAUUUGGUUUAGGGCCAAGCCUAUGGAAAUGUAUUUUCUAUGUGGAGUGGCUGAGUGAAUUGUCUUAACCUGUAAACACUUUGAGGGAUUGGGAGAAGUGUACCCCUGUUUGUUAGAGAUUUUGAUUUCAGGACGCUUGACUCUAAUUGGGUAACCUUUUGAUCAUCUCUGAAUUGAUUGCUAAUCACUUAUAUUUUUUUGGGUUCCUUUGGUUGACACAUUUAUUUUCUCUAUUUUCCUUGUUGGGCUAAGAUACUUGCUUGAGGACAAGAAAAUAUUUAAGCAUGGGAAGAUUUGAUGUGUGUGCAUCUUGCAUACUAUUUCCAUAGUGUUUUGCAUAUUUUCUUUAGCUAAUCCAUUCAUGUUAAUUUUGGUAUGCAUUUUACUUGUUUCUGUUCAAAUGAUUUGUUUUUGUUUUAUGUUGUGUUUGCAGGUGGGUUUUGGUUAAAGAAUUGGGAAGAAUUUUGUAGAUAUUUGGAAAAGAACUUGUGAAUUUUGGUCCUAGAAUUUGGGAUAAUUGAAGAAAUUCUUAAGAAAAGAUUACUGGUAGCUUUUGGGAGCAAGUAAGAGAAAUUUAGACCAAAUCAGAGAGGACGACACUCUAGAAGCAAAACAAGCUCAAUAACACACUAUUAUGCGAGAUAUGCACGACUGGCACCUUUUUCAGGGUUAUUAUCCACCACCUAGUUGAUUUUGUGAGUUUUGGUCCUAGACUUGGGAAGAAUUGAAGAAACUUGUUAGAAAAGAUUGUCGGUAGCUUUUGGAAUCAACAGGUGUAGUUUUCAGGACAUGGGCUGCAUGGUGUCCUCUGGAGUAUUUGAGAAGAUUCUGCCUGCCUUCCUGGUCUAAGAAUUCCUAAACCUGUUGAUUUUGCAGUCACAGGAGCUCCAAUUAGUAUGCUGUCAACUUGCUAUUGAGCAGGGAAGGUGUUUCAAAUUUGAUGUGAGCAUUUUUGGCCUUUUCUGAGGGGUUUGCCAAAUAGGUAUGAGAGUUGUACAAUAAGAAAUGUCAUCAAUUAUGUAAGCUAUGCACCACUGGAACCUUUCUCAGCUCUGCGCCAUUAUCCACCACCUAGUUUGUUUCGUGAGUUCUUUCCUUUUUCUCCUCUUUAACUUCACUUUUACAUUGGGGAUGAUAUAACAUUUAAGCAUGAGGAGAUUAAGUUGUAUUAGCAUUUUUUAUUUAGUGUUAUUUGUUUGCAUGUACUUUUUUUGCAUUGUAGCAUGUCAUACUCAUUAUAUCCUUUCCUAGGUUUUAUCUAUCUUAGUCUGCUUUCUUUAGGAAAUUUUAAUGUUUAAUUUACUUAAGUACAUGUAAACUUGUUCAAAGAAACUUUUUUAGAAUUGAACUACAAAUUUUAAACCACAAUAUAAGCUUUAGAUAGCUAUAGCACAACAUAAAAUGGUCCAGAUGUGUGAUGGGGUUGUGGAUUAAGAUCAGUUAGUGGACCCAAUGCCCAAGGUACGGAGGAGGGUAUAUGUGAGAACGGGAAAGAAUAAAGGGGUAAAAGUGGAAUUGAUGCAUGACUAAGUUAGGAGGGGAAUGCUAUGAGUGUGGCGGGAUCGUUGUGGAAAAUCAUUCAGGUAUCCUGUAUUCUGUUAGAGAGCAGAAUUCCAGUAGCGAUUAUUACUUCUGUAGAAGCCAUAGGCCAUGGUUUUACUUGUUAUACUUAGUAGUACCUAAAUUUUCUUUCUUUGGAUUCCAUCAAUGUCCUAUUGAAAAUCGAUAUUUGUGCAUCUUGCAUAUUAUUUCCAUAGCACGGUGAAUCUUUUCUAUAGUGUUAUUAUGGAUUCAUGUUAAUUUUAAUAAGCAUUUUACUUGUUUUAGUUCAAAUGAUUUGUUUUUGUUUUGUGUUGUGUAUGUAGGUGAGUCUUGGACUCUUGGUCCAAGAAUUUGGAAGAGUUAAAGAAAUUAGUUAGAAAAAGUUGCGGGUAGUUUUUGGGCGCAAGUGAGCGAUAUUUAGACAAAUUUGAAAAGACGUCAGCCUAGAAACAGUGCAAGCGCAACAAUGCAUUAUGUUAGGUGACAUGAGUGCUUCACAACAAGAAAUGUCAACGAUUAUGCGAGUUAUGCAGAACCAACACCUUUCUUAAGGCCAUUAUACACCACCUAGUUGACUUUGUGAGUUCUUCCCUUUUCUCCUGUUUAACUUUGUUUAACAUUGGGAACAAAGUAACAUUUAAGCAUGAGGAUAUUGAGAUUGAAUGCAUGAGUAAGUUAGGAAGGCAAGUUAUGAGUGUGGGGGGAUCAUAAUGUAGAAUCAUACUGGGUUAUACACGAUUAGAGAGAGAAUUCCAAUCGGAAUUGGAACCUCCGUAGAUGCCAUACGCUCUGGUUGGUUUCUAUUUUCUGUUUUGGUUGUUAUUGUGAUCAUACUUAAGUUUUCUUUCUCAAGAUUCCAUAGAUUUCCUAUUGAGAAUUUAUGUGUGUGCAUCUUGCAUACUAUUUCCAUAGUAUUUUGCAAUUUUUCCUUAUUGUUAUCAUUCAUGCCUGUUAAUUUAGUAUGCAUUCUAGUUGUUUUAGAUCAAAUGAUUUGUUUUUGUUUUAUGUUGUGUUUGUAGGUGAAAAUUUGUCCUUUACUUGCGAAGAAUUGAAAAAGAUUGUUAGUAAAGAUUGCCGAUAGUUUAUGGGAGCAAGCGAGCGAAAUUUAGACCAGAUCAGAAAUCACCACAUCCUAGAAACUAAGCAAGCUCAACAAUGCACUACAUUACAUGACAAGAGAGCUUUCAAAACAAGAAAUGUCAUCCAGUUUGUGACCUAUGCACCACUAACCCCUUUCUCAAGGCCAUAAUCCACCAGCUACUAGAUUUUGUGAGGAUUUUUUCUUUUUCUUCUCUUGAGUUGCAUUAGCAUUUUUUACUUAAUUAAGUGCAAACUUCUAAAGCUAUUAUGUUACCAUAUACCUAUCAAUUUAAAACUGCAAUAUAAAGCUGUAGAUAGCUCAAUAUAAAAUGGCCCAGAUGCCUGAUGGGGUUGUGGAUCAAAAUCAGCUAUUGGACCCAAUUGAAAAGCAUAAGGUGUGGGUGGUAUAUGUGAGAAAGAGAAAGAACAAAAUAUCAAAGAGGAAUCAGAUGCAUAAGUAAAGUUAUGAGUGUGGAAGGAUCGUAGUGAAGAAUCAUUGAGGUAGUUUUGGGCUCUAGUAAGUUUAUAUUUGUUUUUUUUCUUGAUAUAGCGAGUAAUACUUAAAUUUUCUUUCUCUAGAUUACAUCGGUGUCCUAUUGAGAAUUGGUGUGUUUGCAUCUUGCAUACUAUUUCUAUAGUAUUUUGCACAUUUCCUUUACUGUUAUCAUGCAUUCCUGUUAAUUUCAGUAUGCUUUUUACUUGUUUAGUUCAAAUGAUUUUUUUCGUUUGUUUCGUGUUGUGACUUUUGGUCCUAGCAUUGGGAAGAAUUGAAGAAAUUUGUUUGAAAAGAUUGCCGAUAGUUUUUUGGGAGCAAGCGAGCGAUUAUCAGAAUUGACCAUAACCUUGAAACAGAGCAAGCUCAACAAUGAACUAUAUUUGAUGACAUUUGAGCUGCACAACAAGAAAUGUCAUCCAUUAUGCGAGCUAUGCAUCACUAACAACGCCAUUAUCCACCACCUAGUUGAUUUUGUGAGUUUUGGUCCUAAAAUCGGGAAGAAUUGAAGAAAUAUGUUAGAAAAGAUUUCCGCUAGCUUUUGGAAAUAAGUUAGCGAAAUUUAGACCAAAUCAGAAAAUUCCACAACCUAGAAGUGGAGCAAGCUCAACAAUGCACCAUAUUAGAUGACAUGAUAGCUGCACAACUAACACCUUUCUCAAGGCCAUUAUCCACCACCAAGUUGAUUUUGUUUCAGACUAUGGAUUUUUGAUGGUCAAGGAAAGCCGUAAAGGGAAUUAAAUUCUAUGUGUCCUAUCCCUUUCUAUUUAUCAACUAAUUAUGUGUAAUGCAUUUUCUAAUUCUCUUUUAUGCUAUUUGUGCAGUCACCUUGCUUCUAUGACCCAUGCAAACGACAACCAGUUUUUGAGACUCUUCAUCAUGGUUUCAUCCACAUCUGAGUUGCUAUUACAUUCCUCCAUGCUUUCAUGUCCGAAGCAGUAGGAAGUACUUCUACCAGGUUGUGUUAAUAAUGGUUUUUUUGCAGUGAAGACUCUUCCUUCGUAAUUAUCACACAGCAACAGUUGAAAGAACUCCGCUUUAAGAAGGCACUAGAUGAGCAAUGGCACUAGAUGAGCAAUGGGGAAAUUUACCAACAACGAGGCACACGUUAUUUUUGUGGUGUUUUGCCUAAUCUGAGGCACAUGUGAUUUACUUUUUAAUCUUUAUUAUUAUGUCCUUCCCUCUCUUCUCUUCGGUUUUUUGCAUUUGUAAUCUUUAUUAUUAUGUCCUUCCCUCUCUCUGUUGUCUUUCUUGGUCUUGAGGUUUGUUGAAAUAUCGCUCUCAGGUUUCACAUGAUUCAUCGUCGUAGAGGGAACCGAGGAAGUUGAUAGCGGUGAUGGUGUCCGAAACAAUUUAUUAUGCUCAUGUCAGGGAAAUGAGUGUGCUAUAUGCUAAGGAUAAGAAACUUAGGGAGCAUUUACAUUAUAAUUAGCACUUGACAUUAAACGCUUUUCACUAUCUAUUACUCACCAGUUUAUAUUUUUCCACAUAGAUCUCAUUUGCAACUGAUGAUGUAAUCAGCCUUAUCCCAGAAGGUUUUAUCGUAAAUUUGCUUCUAGAAUCAAUGCAAGAGACCAACAACUUCAGAGGCCAUUUACCAUGGUUUCUUCCAGGUGUGGUGGUCUUUUAAGUAGUUCGAGUUGUUGUGCAUCUUUCAGCAUUAGUUGGAGUUGCAAUAGAUGAUGCAAUCAUCUUCCUCACAAUCGAAUCUACUAUAAUGUACUUUUUUGAGGCACAUGCAAUGAAGUUCUUAAGCGACAUUGACCAGGUCAUAAAGACAACAAAGAUGUUGGAUAUUUCUUGGCUUAGUUGGGAAUUGGGUCAGGGAAACAAACCACAAUCAGAGAUCUCAGUUGCAACUAGUGAUGUAAUCCGGCUUAUCACAGAAGCUUUUAUCGAGAUCUCAGUUGCAACUGAUGAUAUAAUCCGGAUUAUCACAGAAGCUUUUAUCGUAACUUUGCUUCUUGAAUCGAUGCAAGAGACGAACAACUUAAGAUGCCCUUUAGCAUGGUUUCUUCCAGUUGUGGUGGUCUUUUAAGUAGUUCGAGUUGUUGUGUCUACUUUUUAUUCAUGACCUCAUAUCAAGCUUUAUUUUGUUUGCAUUUUACUUGAGAAUCAUCUUUUCUUUACUGUAGUGUUUUAGUAGAUAACUCCAUAUUUUGACACGGCAACAGUUGGAAGAACUCCGCUUUAAGAAGGCACUAGAUGAGCAGUGGGGAAAUUGACCAACAACGAGGCACACGAUAUUGCAUGUUGUGUUUUGCCUAAUUCUAAGGCACAUGUGAUUUACAUUUUAAGUCCCUUGACUAGUUCAGGAAAACGACGAAGGUGUUCCUCACAUCUCUCUUCUCUUCAUUUUUUUGCAUUUGUAAUCUUUAUUAUUAUGUCCUUCCCUCUCUCUGUUGUCUUUCUUGGUCUUGAGGUUUGUUGAAAUAUCGCUCUCAGGUUUCACACGAUUCAUCGUCGUAGAGGGAACCGAGGAAGUUGAUAGCGGUAUAGUUAUGAUUUAAUCUUCUAGAGGAUAAGUCUCGAUUUGUGCGAAGUGUUAGGGAUUUCAGUAAGUGUAAAUAGGUUUGAGUGAGGGAAGUUUUGAGGAAGAAGACGGUAAAAAUGGAUUGUUAGAUAUUAAGAGGAGGAUUAUCUUAUAAGUUGUUGAUAAAUUGAUGUUGAAGGGGGAUAAGAUUAGUGAAGGACAAGGAAUAAGGACAUAAGUCGAGUUUUAAUUCGAAUAGUGACUAAGUAGAAGUUUGAUUUCUUGGUAUUUAUGUCGCCCGCUGUGGUUAUAUUUAACUAUGUGUUUGACAUUCAUUCAUACAUACUAUGCGAUGCCAACAAGACAGAGUUUCCUUCCACUUUUGGUCGAAUCUACUAUAAUGUACUUUUUUGAAGGACACACGAUGAAGUUCGAAAGCGACAUUGACCAGGUCAUAAAGAUAACAAAGAUGUUGGAUAUUUCUUGCCUUAGUUGGGAAUUGAGUCAGUGAAACAAACCACAAUCAGAGAUCUCAGUUGCAACUGAUGAUGUAAUCCGGCUUAUCACAGAAGCUUUUAUCGUUACUUUGCUUCUUGAAUCGAUGCAAAAGACGAACAACUUAAGAUGCCCUUGACCAUGGUUUCUUCAAGUUGUGGUGGUCUUUUAAGUAGUUUGAGUUGUUUGUUUUAGUAGAUAACUCCAUAUUUUCACACGGCAACAGUUGGAAGAAUUCCGCUUUAAGAAGGCACUACAUGAGCAGUGGGGAAAUUGACCAACAACGAGGCACACGAUAUUGCAUGUUGUGUUUUGCCUAAUUCUGAGGCACAUGUGAUUUACUUUUUGAGUACCUUGACUAGUUGAGGAAAACGACGAAGAUUUCACACUAUUCAUCAUCGUAGAGGGAACCGAGGAGCGGGCCUUAUCCCAAAAGGUUUUAUCGCAGUAAAUUUGCUUCUAGAAUUAAUGCAAGAGACCAACAACUUCAGAGGCCCUUUACCAUGGUGUCUUCCAGGUGUGGUGGUCUUUUAAGUAGUUCGAGUCGUUGUGCAUCUUUCAGCUUUAGUUGGAGUUACAAUAGAUGAUUCAAUCAGCUUCCUCACAGUAAGUUCUUCUAGUAUAUUGCUAUGGCCAAUAGAUGUUUUGGUUAAUAUUUUUGAGUGAUUAAAGCAUUUUGUAUGUAACUUGUGAACCUAGGCGCAACUUACAUGCCAAAUGCUUUAAUUAUCUAUUAAAACACUGGAGUUUUUUAUUCUCGUCCGUGUUUUACUUAUGUCGCCCUAUGUGGUUAUAUUUAAUUAUGUGUUUGAUAUUCAUUCAUACAUACUAUGCGAUGCCAACAAGGCAGAGUUUCCUUCCACUUUUGGUCGAAUCUACUAUAAUGUACUUUUUUGAAGCAUGCACGAUGAAGUUCUAAAGCGACAUUGACCAGGUCAUAAAGACAACAAAGAUGUUGGAUAUUUCUUGGCUUAGUUGGGAAUUGGGUCAGGGAAACAAACCACAAUCAGAGAUCUCAGUUGCAACUAGUGAUGUAAUCCGGCUUAUCACAGAAGCUUUUAUCGUAACUUUGCUUCUUGAAUCGAUGCAAGAGACGAACAACUUGAGAUGCCCUUUACCAUGGUUUCUUCCAGUUGUGGUGGUCUUUUAAGUAGUUCGAGUUGUUGUGUCUACUUUUUAUUCAUGACCUCAUAUCAAGCUUUAUUUUGUUUGCAUUUUACUUGAGAAUCAUCUUUUCUUUACUGUAGUGUUUUAGUAGAUAACUUUUCACACGGCAACAGUUGGAAGAACUCCGCUUUAAGAAGGCACUAGAUGAGCAGUGGGGAAAUUGACCAACAACGAGGCACACGAUAUUGCAUGUUGUGUUUUGCCUAAUUCUAUGGCACAUGUGAUUUACUUUUUAAGUACCUUGACUAGUUCAGGAAAACGACGAAGGUUACACACGAUUCAUCGUCGUAGAGGGAACCGAGGAAGUUGAUAGCGGUGAUGGUGUCCGAAACAAUUUAUUAUGCUCAUGUCAGGGAAAUGAGUGUGCUAUGCUAAGGAUAAGAAGCUUAGGCAGCAUUUACAUUAUAAUUAGCACUUGACAUUAUAUGCUUUUCACUAUCUACUACUCACCGGUUUACAUUUUUCCACAUAAAUCUCAUUUGCAACUGAUGAUGUAAUGGGCCUUAUCCCAGAAAGUUUUAUCGUAACCUUGCUUCUAGAAUCAAUGCAAGAGACCAACAACUUCAGAGGCCCUUUACCAUAGUUUCUUCUAGGUGUGGUGGUCUUUUAAGUAGUUCGAGUCGUUGUGCAUCUUUCAGCAUUCGUUGGAGUUGCAAUAGAUGAUUCAAUCAGCUUCCUCACAAGUUUCCUUCCACUUUUGGUCGAAUCUACUAUAAUGUACUUUUUUGAAGCACACACGAUGAAGUUCGAAAGCGACAUUGACCAGGUCAUAAUGAUAACAAAGAUGUUGGAUAUUUCUUGCCUUAGUUGGGAAUUGAGUCAGUGAAACAAACCACAAUCAGAGAUCUCAGUUGCAACUGAUGAUGUAAUCCGGCUUAUCACAGAAGCUUUUAUCGUUACUUUGCUUCUUGAAUCGAUGCAAAAGACGAACAACUUAAGAUGCCCUUGACCAUGGUUUCUUCAAGUUGUGGUGGUCUUUUAAGUAGUUUGAGUUGUUGUGUGUACUUUUUAUCCAUGACCUCAUAUCAAGCUUUAUUUUGUUUGCAUUUUACUUGAGAAUCAUCUUUUCUUUACUGUAGUGUUUUAGUAGAUAACUUUUCACACGGCAACAGUUGGAAGAACUCCGCUUUAAGAAGGCACUAGAUGAGCAGUGGGGAAAUUGACCAACAACGAGGCACACGAUAUUGCAUGUUGUGUUUUGCCUAAUUCUAUGGCACAUGUGAUUUACUUUUUAAGUACCUUGACUAGUUCAGGAAAACGACGAAGGUUACACACGAUUCAUCGUCGUAGAGGGAACCGAGGAAGUUGAUAGCGGUGAUGGUGUCCGAAACAAUUUAUUAUGCUCAUGUCAGGGAAAUGAGUGUGCUAUGCUAAGGAUAAGAAGCUUAGGCAGCAUUUACAUUAUAAUUAGCACUUGACAUUAUAUGCUUUUCACUAUCUACUACUCACCGGUUUACAUUUUUCCACAUAAAUCUCAUUUGCAACUGAUGAUGUAAUGGGCCUUAUCCCAGAAAGUUUUAUCGUAACCUUGCUUCUAGAAUCAAUGCAAGAGACCAACAACUUCAGAGGCCCUUUACCAUAGUUUCUUCUAGGUGUGGUGGUCUUUUAAGUAGUUCGAGUCGUUGUGCAUCUUUCAGCAUUCGUUGGAGUUGCAAUAGAUGAUUCAAUCAGCUUCCUCACAAGUUUCCUUCCACUUUUGGUCGAAUCUACUAUAAUGUACUUUUUUGAAGCACACACGAUGAAGUUCGAAAGCGACAUUGACCAGGUCAUAAUGAUAACAAAGAUGUUGGAUAUUUCUUGCCUUAGUUGGGAAUUGAGUCAGUGAAACAAACCACAAUCAGAGAUCUCUGUUGCAACUGAUGAUGUAACCCGGCUUAUCACAGAAGCUUUUAUCGUAACUUUGCUUCUUGAAUCGAUGCAAGAGACGAACAACUUAAGAUGCCCUUGACCAUGGUUUCUUCAAGUUGUGGUGGUCUUUUAAGUAGUUCGAGUUGUUGUGUCUACUUUUUAUCCAUGACCUCAUAUCAAUCUUUAUUUUGUUUGCAUUUUACUUGAGAAUCAUCUUUUCUUUACUGUAGUGUUUUAGUAGAUAACUUCAUAUUUUCACACGGCAACAGUUGGAAGAACUCCGCUUUAAGAAGGCACUACAUGAGCAGUGGGGAAAUUGACCAACAACGAGGCACACGAUAUUGCAUGUUGUGUUUUGCCUAAUUCUGAGGCACAUGUGAUUUACUUUUUAAUUACCUUGACUAGUUCAGGAAAACAACGAAGGUUUCACACGAUUCAUCGUCGUAGAGGGAACCGAGGAAGUUGAUAGCGGUGAUGGUGUCCGAAACAAUUUAUUAUGCUCAUGUCAGGGAAAUGAGUGUGCUAUGCUAAGGAUAAGACACUUAGGCAGCAUUUACAUUAUAAUUAGUACUUGACAUUAUACGCUUUUCACUAUCUACUACUCACCGGUUUACAUUUUUCCACAUAGAUCUCAUUUGCAACUGAUGAUGUCAUGGGCCUUAUCCCCGAAGGUUUUAUCGUAAAUUUGCUUCUAGAAUCAAUGCAAGAGACCAACAACUUCAGACGCCCUUUACCAUGUUUUCUUCCAGGUGUGGUGGUCUUUUAAGUAGUUCGAGUCGUUGUGCAUCUUUCAGCAUUCGUUGGAGUUGCAAUAGAUGAUUCAAUCAGCUUCCUCAGAGUAAGUUCUUCUAGUAUAUUGCUUUGGCCAUUAGAUGUUUUGGUUAAUAUUUUGAAGUAAUUAAAGCAUUUUGUAUGUAACUUGUGAACCUAGGCACAACUUACGUGCCAAAUGCUUUAAUUAUCUAUUAAAACACUGGAGUUUUUUAUUCUUGUCUCUGUGUUUUAUUUAUGUCGCCCGCUGUGGUUAUAUUUAACUAUGUGUUUGAUAUUCAUUCAUACAUACUAUGCGAUGCCAACAAGACAGAGUUUCCUUCCACUUUUGGUCGAAUCUACUAUAAUGUACUUUUUGGAAGCACCCACGAUGAAGUUCUUUAGCGACAUUGACCAGGUCAUAAAGAGAACAAAGAAAAAUAUUUCUUUCAUGAUGCAGAUGUUGGAUAUUUCUUGGCUUAGUUGGGAAUUGAGUCAGUGAAACAAACCACAAUCAGAGAUGUCAGCUGCAACUGAUGAUGUAAUCCGACUUAUCACAGAAGCUUUUAUCGUUGCAACUGAUGAUGUAAUCCGGCUUAUCUCAGAAGCUUUUAUCGUAACUUUGCUUUCUUGAAUCAAUGCAAGAGACGAACAACUUAAGAGGCCCUUUACCAUGGUUUCUUCCAGUUGUGGUGGUCUUUUAAGUAGUUUGAGUUGUUGUGUCUAGUUUUUAUUCAUGACCUCAUAUCAAGCUUUAUUUUGUUUGCAUUUUACUUGAGAAUCAUCUUUUCUUUACUGUAGUGUUUUAGUAGAUAACUCCAUAUUUUCACACGGCAACAGUUGGAAGAACUCCGCUUUAAGAAGGCACUAGAUGAGCAGUGGGGCAAUUGACCAACAACGAGGCACACGAUAUUUUUGUGGUGUUUUGCCUAAUUCUGAGGCACAUGUGAUUUACAUUUUAAGUACCUUGACUAGUUCAGGAAAACGACGAAGGUUUCCCACGAUUCAUCGUCGUAGAGGGAACCGAGGAAGUUGAUAGCGGUGAUGGUGUCCGAAACAAUUUAUUAUGCUCAUGUCAGGGAAAUGAGUGUGCUAUGCUAAGGAUAAGAAGCUUAGGCAGCAUUUACAUUAUAAUUAGCACUUGACAUUAUAUGCUUUUCACUAUCUACUACUCACCGGCUUACAUUUUUCCACAUACAUCUCAUUUGCAACUGAUGAUGUAAUGGGCCUUAUCCCAGAAGGUUUUAUCGUAAAUUUGCUUCUAGAAUCAAUGCAAGAGACCUACAACUUCAGACGCCCUUUACCAUGUUUUCUUCCAGGUGUGGUGGUCUUUUAAGUAGUUCGAGUCGUUGUGCAUCUUUCAGCAUUAGUUGGAGUUGCAAUAGAUGAUUCAAUCAGCUUCCUCACAGUAAGUUCUUCUAGUAUAUUGCUAUGGCCAAUAGAUGUUUUGGUUAAUAUUUUUGAGUAAUUAAAGCAUUUUGUAUGUAACUUGUGAACCUAGGCGCAACUUACAUGCCAAAUGCUUUAAUUAUCUAUUAAAACAUUGGAGUUUUUUAUUCUCAUCUCUGUGUUUUAUUUAUGUCGCCCGCUGAGGUUAUAUUUAAUUAUGUGUUUGAUAUUCAUUCAUACAUACUAUGCGAUGCCAACAAGACACAGUUUCCUUCCACUUUUGGUCGAAUCUACUAUAAUGUACUUUUUUGAGGCACACGCGAUGAAGUUCUUAAGCGACAUUGACCAGACGCUGGAUAUUUCUUGGCUUAGUUGGGAAUUGAGUCAGUGAAACAAACCACAAUCAGUGUUUUAGUAGAUAACUCCAUAUUUUCACACGGCAACAGUUGGAAGAACUCCGCUUUAAGGUUUCAGACAAUGGAUUUGUGCAGUCACCUUGCUUCUAUGACCAAUGCAAACGACAACCAGUUUUUGAGACCCUUCAUCAUGGUUUCAUCCAGAUGUGAGUUGCUACAUUCCUCCAUGCUUUCAUGUCCGAAGCAGUAGGAAGUACUCUUCUACCAGGUUGUGUUAAUUAUGGUUUUUUUUUGCAGUGAAGACUCUUCCUUCGUAAUUAUAAUAAAAUAGCAAUUGUACUUUUUUAUGCUAGAACUAGUGGGGGCUUAAGACCAACAAGGAGGCACGUGUGAUUUACUUUUUAAGUACCUUGACUAGUUUGAUAAAACGAAGCAGGUGAUCCUCACCACUCUCAGGAAGACCAUCGAAAAUGGCUUCCAGAUGCUCGUGGUGACUGACAGGAUCGCCGAUUGAAAUCAAAGCAUUGACAAUGGUCUUGAUACGCUGGAGUUAUUCACUGAAAGUCUUCGAACCUUUGUUGAUGGCUCGCAACUCAGUGCGAAGCUGCAUCGACUGCGCAUGGAAGAACUCAAGAAUUUGCUGCCAAACUUCCCAUGACUGCUUGCAAUUGACCACAGUAGGAAGAACAGAGUCGGAAAGUGAUGAAAGAAACCAAGUAAACAACGCUUAAUCUUGCUGACUCCAAUCAGUGUAAGCAGGAUUCUCAGACGCACUCACUCGAUCUUCUUCUGAGAGAAAACGAGGAGGAAUCUCUGGAUCAAACAAGAAACUCUGCAAUCGAUGAGAACGAACAACGCCUUCAACGAUUUGGCGCCAGGAACGAAAGUUUGUAUCAUCGAGUUUGAUCAAGAUUUUGUGUGCUAAGCUAUUGGAAACACUGUUUUGUGCUCCUGAAUUUGCUGAAUUUGCUGGAAUUUCAGCCAUGGCGGAAGAAAAGGAAGAAAUCAAGGACCUAGAAGAAGAAGAAAUCAAGGACCUAACCGUGCUCUUGAUACCAUGUUGAGAACCUAAACUGAUUGUGAAAAUUGAACUGAAAAUAUUAUCCAUUCAAAGGUGAAGAUUACAAGAGUGAAUCUCAGUAUUUAUACAGUGAGUGUAGCAAGCUAACUGAACUAACUAUAGUUGACGGUUAGGCUAACCAUAGUUAGCAACUAACCGUAACUGACUUAUAACAAACUCAACAGACUAACAAACUUAACCAGCUUGUAACUAACAGAUACAAUGUAUUCAACAAAGCAUAAUUGCUUUAUACUCUAAUAAUCUUCCUUCGUAAUUAUAAGAAAAUAGUAAUUGUACUUUUUUAUGCUAGAACUAGUGGGGGCACAAGACCAAUAUGGAGGCACAUGUGAUUUACUUUUUAAGUACCUUGACUAGUUUGAGAAAACGAAGCAGGUUUCACACAGUGACGAUUCUUCGUCAUAGAGAGAAACGUGGAAGUUGAUAGCAAUGAUGGGUUCCGAAACAAGUUAUCAUGGUAAUGUCUUUGACUUGAAGAAAAGAGGAAACAUGGAACUUGUUGGUGUGCUUCCUUUAGCAAUAAUUGGAUUUUCGAUAGAUGAUGCACUCGGCCUAGUCACAGUAAGUUAUUCUGGUAUAUAGCUAUGGUCAAUAGGUAUUUUGGUUAAUUGUUUUGAGUAAUUAAAGCAUUUUGUAUGUAACUGGUGAACCUAGGCGCAACUUACACGCAAAAUGCUUUAGUUAUCUAUUAAAACACUGGAGUUUUUACUUGUGAUUGUGUUUUGUUUAUGAUUUUUCAUUCAUGUCGCCCUCUGUGGUUAUAUUCCAAUAUGUAUUUGAUAUUCAUUCAUAUAUAAUACGAGAUGCCAACAAGACAGAAAGACCUUCCAUUUCCGGUUGAAUCCACUAUUAUGUACUAGUUUGAGGAGCACGCGAUGAAGUUCUGAAGAGACAUUGACCAGAUCAUAAAGACAACAAAGACGUUAAAAAUCAUGACUAGGUUAGGAUGGCGACGGAGGUGUUUCGCACUACUCUCUUCUCACCUGUUUAAAGCAUUUGUGUUGGGUACUUGGAGUUAGUUGGUUAGUUAAGAGUUAGCCUAUAAUUAAGGGAGUGUGAAGAGGGUUUAGGUAUCUUUUGGAUCAUUUAGGAAAUUGGGACUUGGAAGAGAGUAGAGCCUUUCCAAUGCCCUACAACUUUGUGCAUCCUCUCUAAUUCCUAUUUGGGAAUUAGGGUUCAUAUUCCAUAAUAUCACAAUUUCCACCUUCUUCUUGGCUA